rnacentral:lncRNA from 12 species
AUGUUCCCAAGACUCCUGCGGAGAGAGACUCCGUCCUGGCCCGGGUCUAUUCUUAGCAGCGCUCACAGCCGGUCCCGGAGAAGGCUGGCUGUUCCGCAGCGUCUGGCUUUCUCCGUCCAAUCUUUGGUGGAACCUUCUGUUUCCGCCUUCAGGUGUCAGCGGCUCCACGUACGGACGAGGGAACCGAGGGUCGGCGCCGUCAGGGCACCUGCGCCGUCUAGCAGGAUUGCACUUGGGUGGAGGCGUCCUGGCUGCCGCUCCCCACCCGACGGCUGCGAGCCCUUCCGUAGAGUCUGGGGAGCCGGUCUCCCAAGGACGCGAAACACGAGGCCAUCAAGAACCAGCUCUGUCCACGCAGCGGGCCGCCGUCUGUCCGUCCCCACCUGCAGACAGACACACUCCCCGCAAGGAGGGCCACACCCGGUUCUCAAGGACACUGCGCCUCUGGCCUCUGGGUUUGUCCAUAUUCCUCUUUAUGUUGGCACCUUCCUUCUGGAGACCACGGAAGGAACAUUUUUUUUUUUUUUACGACUAAUAAAAUUUCCACAAUCCUGUAGUGAUUAUUAUCAAAGAUAAUUGGGCUGGGAAUUUUUAUUUCUUUGAUAAGUAUUUUAUUUGAGCUCUUACUCUGUACCGGGCGCUGUUUGUCUCUGAUCUCACGGAAAUUACACUCCAGUAAGGAAGGCAGACAGAAGCGUGUAAACCAAGGGAUAAACAAGGUAUUUGGGGGGAGUAAUUAGUGACUGCCACAAGGAAGGCGGCUAUAGGAUGAUGGACGGUGACCCGGUACGGAGUCGGAAACACGCGGAUCCAGGGACGACAGAAGGGUCCCCCUGAGUUGAAACGGGAGAAGGGGAAGGUGCUCAGUACAGAAAGGGCGAGAGGGAAGGGCAGGUGCAAAGGCCCAGGGUCAGGAAUAGGUCUGGAAACAGUAACGUCCAAAAAAAAAAAAAAAAAAAAUCAUUUUGGCUCCAGAUGGAGGGUGUUGAGGCAGACGCGGAGGAUGGAGUUAGAGAGGCUAGGAGGUCAAAUCACGGGGAGCCUUGAAGGCCGUGGUAGGAGUACGGAUUGUAUUCUCACCUAAGGGAAGCCAUUACGUUAAGGGGUCUAGGCCAUGUGGAGACACGAACCCAUCGACUGAAUGAAAAGCUGAUGGAGAUUGGCGGUUCCUCAAAAACUCAAACAUUAAAAAAAAAACAAAAAAAACUCAAACAUAGAAUUACCCAAUUGACCCAGUAAUUCCACCGCCAGGUUAUGUGUCCCCAGUCAUUGAACCCGGGGACUCCAGCGUUCGGAGCGCCGUCUCGGGAGGUGGCCAGGAGACGCAAGCACGAUGCUGGCCCACACCCACAGGGGCGCGUUCUUCAGUCACGGAGAGGAACGACACCCCGAUGCCUGCGACCACGCGGGGGAACCUCAAAAACAUUAGGCGAAGUGGACGAAGCCAGACACAAAAGGUCACGGACCGUGGGACUCCACGUAUGCGAAACGUCCAGGACCGGUGAAUCUGCGCGACGAGAAGGGAUUGGUGGUUACGGAGCGUGGC